rnacentral:lncRNA from 1 species
ACAUUGCUCCUUUCUGGAAACAAGCCUUGGCUUCCGAUUGCCCGAGGGCUCAAGGAGUGUGUGCAUCCCAGCUCCGGCAAGACGCUGAGAUAGACCUGCCAGGGUCCGGGGCCGACGCAGGAGAGCAGUGAAGGCUCGCGCCGCCGCAGGAGCUGUUCCUGGCUCCUCGCCGCCCCCGCCUCCCAGCAGGGAGGUUAUGGCUGCAGCAACUCGGCUGCAGGGCCAAGCUGCACACAUUGCUGCCCACUCCUUCCACUCUUUCCCCUCCCUCUUCCCUCCUGCUGCUUGGGACAAAAAACUGAAGUGAUCUUUAAGGGAUCUGGAGGCAGUCUUGGACUGUUGGAGUCAGACCUUCCCAAAUCGAGGAACCAAAGCGUGUUCUAGAAGGAUGGACACAGGCCAGUCCCCAGCCAGAAGGGGAGGAGUCUUCUGUCUCUUGUUCACUCAAGCGUGCUCAGCAUCUGACUGCUGCAGACACACGAAUGUGUUGAAAGCAUCAUCGAGAAUUCUUAGCAAAACAAGAGCCAAAUUAAAACGGAAGUUAUUUAAGAGGGGUUUAAGAGGUUCUACCUACUCUGAAUGCCAAAUUCUGACUUUUAACAGAUAAGAACAGACCUACAUAAUCCAGGUAUUAUUACAUAUAUAUUUCACAUAUGUUACAUAUAAUUAUUAUUAUAUUAUUGGACAUCUUAGGUAAUUUUAUUUUAUGUUUGAUAUAGUUACUAUAGCUACUUAUCUUGGAACUUGGUGAAAACGGUAUUUAUGGAAAACAUUUGCACCUGGAAUAUGAGCCAUAUCGUUACUGUGUUUGGUUGCAUAAGGUAAAAUCUGAAAAACAGAUAGUGGCUCUUAAUACCUUUCCCCCGUUCCUUUGCACUCAGCAGGUGUGCUGAGCUUGCUUGCUGGUGGAGCUUGAGUCUCCUGGGAAGCCUUAGUAUUCUGAUCUGGCUUCAGCUGGAGUGAUAGCCUUUGGCCUCAAAUCCCUUAUUCUAACCUGGAGCACACAGCGUGGAGGCUUUGCUUCUUACCCACAAGGAGGCUUCCCUGACCAGUAGCACUCAGGUGCUCCCAUCCCAGCAGGACUGGCUUUCCUUCGUUGGGAUCUUCAGCUCUGGAAGCUUCCUUCUCUUUGUGUUUCCUGCCCUGAGGGAGGAAUAUUCAACAUCUUUUGCUGAAAAGGGUGUUUUGAUAUAUGAAAUCUGAAUCUAAAAAUGAAUGCUCUCUUUCCUCAAAACUCAGGCAGCACCGCAACUCCUACAAACCAUCAUGGGAUGCUCAGGUCAAAGGAGAUGAGGACCUUGCUAGUCACAGAGUCGGCUUGAACCAACACUGUUGCAUUGCCUGGGGGCUCCUUAGAAAUGCAGGAUCUUGAGGCCAG